CAUCGGCCGCUGACGCAGAUAUUGUUAUUUCGGCGUUUAUUUCGUAUUGCGUGUCCUAUUUCACCAUUAAUUGUUUUUAUUGUUAACAAUUUUUUUUUUGUGAAUAAAAAUUUAAAUGGAUCGUUGGCUAAACAAAUCAAAAAAUACAGUGGGAUCAUUCUCAUCAGAUGCAAAUGAAAAUAUAUGUAUCACAACGACUAAUAGUGCGAGUUUAAUAAGAGCAAAUAGUCCACCUAACAAACAAUCUGAUACAGUGACGUCUGACACUACAGUAAGUAAAAAAAGAAAAUAUGACGAAAAUUAUACCUCUUUUGGUUUCAU